rnacentral:rRNA from 1 species
UACAGAGGGGGCAAGCGUUGUUCGGAUUUACUGGGCGUAAAGGGCGCGUAGGCGGUCAGCACAAGUCGGUUGUGAAAUCUCCGAGCUUAACUCGGAAAGGUCAACCGAAACUGUGCGACUAGAGUGCAGAAGGGGCAACUGGAAUUCUUGGUGUAGCGGUGAAAUGCGUAGAUAUCAAGAGGAACACCUGCGGCGAAGGCGGGUUGCUGGGCUGACACUGACGCUGAAGCGCGAAAGCCAGGGGAGCGAACGGG